rnacentral:rRNA from 1 species
UACGGAGGGUGCGAGCGUUGUCCGGAUUUAUUGGGCGUAAAGAGCGUGUAGGCGGCCAUACAGGUCCGUUGUGAAAACUCGAGGCUUAACCUCGAGACGUCGAUGGAAACCGUAUGGCUAGAGUCCGGAAGAGGAGAGUGGAAUUCCUGGUGUAGCGGUGAAAUGCGCAGAUAUCAGGAAGAACACCCGUGGCGAAGGCGGCUCUCUGGGACGGUACUGACGCUGAGACGCGAAAGCGUGGGGAGCGAACAGG